AUGGCGCUGCGGGUAAUGCAGGGAUCAUGAACAGGGCCGCGGCCGCGCUACCGGUGCCCACCCGUGGGCCGGUGGCGGGACCUCGGGAGCAGGCGCUGGCAGUUAGUCGGAACUACCUCUCCCAGCCUCACCUCACAUACAAGACAGUAUAAGGAGUCAAUGGUCCUCUAGUGAUCCUAGGUCAUGUUAAGUUUCCCAGAUAUGCUGAGAUUGUUCACUUGACAUUACCAGACGGCACGAAGAGAAGUGGACAAGUUCUAGAAGUUAGUGGUUCCAAAGCAGUGGUUCAGGUAUUUGAAGGGACUUCAGGUAUAGAUGCUAAGAAAACGCCCUGUGAGUUUACUGGGGAUAUUCUCCGAAUACCAGUGUCUGAAGACAUGCUUGGUCGGGUAGUCAAUGGAUCAGGAAAACCCAUCGACAGGGGUCCUGUUGUCCUGGUUGAAGACUUCCUUGAUCUCAUGGGCCAGCCAAUCAAUCCUCAAUGUCGAAUCUACCCGGAGGAGAUGAUUCAGACUGGCAUUUCGGCCACAGAUGCAUGAACAUUAUUGCUAGGGGACAGAAAAUUCCUAUCUUCUCUGCUGCUGAGUUACCACACAAUGAGAUUGCAGCUCAAAUCUGUUGCCAGGCUGGUUUGGUAAAGAAAUCCAAAGAUGUAGUGGACUACAGUGAGGAAAAUUUUGCAAUUGUGCUUGCUGCUAUGGCUGUAAACAUGUAAACUGCCCAGUUCUUCAAAUCUGACUUUGAAGAAAAUGGCUCAAUGGACAAUGUCUGUCUCUUUUUGAACUUGGCUAAUGAUCCAACUAUUGAGUGAAUUAUCACUCCUCGCCUGGCUCUUACCACAGCUGAAUUUCUGGCUUACCAGUGUGAGAAGCACGAACUGGUUAUCCUAACAGACAUGAGCUCUUAUGCUGAAGCACUUCGAGAGGUUUCCGCAGCCAGGGAAGAGGUUCCCGGUCAACGAGGCUUCCCAGGUUACAUGUAUACAGAUUUAGCCACGAUAUAUGAACGCACAGGUCAAGUGGAGGGUAGCAUUCUCACCAUGCCUAACGAUGAUAUCACUCACCCCAUCCCUGACCUGACUGGAUACAUUACAGAGGGGCAGAUCUAUGUGGACAGACAGCUACACAACAGACAGAUUUACCUGCCUAUUAACGUGCCGCCCUCACUAUCACGGUUAAUGAAGUCUGCUAUUGGAGAAGGUAUGACCAGAAAGGAUCAUGCCGAUGUGUCUAACCAGCUGUAUGCAUGCUAUGCUAUUGGGAAGAAUGUGCAAGCCAUGAAAGCCGUAGUUGGAGAAGUAGCCCUUACCUCAGAUGAUCUUCUUUACUUGGAAUUUCUGCAGAAGUUUGAGAGGAACUUUAUUGCUCAGGGUCCUUAUGAAAACCGCACUGUCUAUGAGACUUUGGACACUGGCUGGCAGCUACUCCGAAUCUUCCCCAAAGAAAUACUGAAGCGAAUUCUUCAGAGCACCCUGAGUGAAUUUUACCCUCGAGACUCUGCAAAGCAUUAACCCAUUGCUUCAUCACUGGCUUGGGCCUCUUGUGAAAUACUGGUUCUGUUUACUUUAUUCUUCGUGUACUCCCCCACCCCUGCCCCCACCUUUGUGUUGGAGUUUACUGUGUUACCCUGUAAUUAAACAUGAGAAUAGGUAACAUAUUGUGCCAGUGUUGCAAUGUUUUAAACUGCUAACAGACUUUAAAAUAUCCCCUAUUCAGAGAACCUGGGUUUUCAGUGCUUUGUUUAAAGUAGCUGCAGGGGCGGAGGUGUGUUUUCUUGUUGAUGUAUGUAUUGUACAUAGUGGUUGUAGUUAGUUA